UGGGGAAUCUUGCACAAUGGGGGAAACCCUGAUGCAGCGACGCCGCGUGAGCGAUGAAGGUUUUCGAAUCGUAAAGCUCUGUCCUAUGGGAAGAUAAUGACGGUACCAUGGGAGGAAGCCCCGGCUAACUACGUGCCAGCAGCCGCGGUAAUACGUAGGGGGCGAGCGUUGUCCGGAAUUACUGGGCGUAAAGGGUUCGCAGGCGGCAUGGCAAGUCCGAUGUAAAAGGCGAAGGCUCAACCUUCGUAAGCAUCGGAAACUGUCAAGCUUGAGUGAAGGAGAGGCAAGUGGAAUUCCUAGUGUAGUGGUGGAAUGCGUAGAUAUUAGGAGGAAUACCGGUGGCGAAGGCGACUUGCUGGACUUCAACUGACGCUGAGGAACGAAAGCGUGGGUAGCAAACAGG
rnacentral:rRNA from 1 species